GCAGACUAGGCUGCGGAGCGUAUUAGUGCCGACGGACUGAGGGAGUUGCCCGCCGGACGAAAUGGCAGAUACCGAUCCCGUUGAAAUUGAAAGGAUCUGCCUGCGGUUCCGUUUAGCCGCAUCCCGCUGC
rnacentral:ncRNA from 1 species